rnacentral:snoRNA from 1 species
UUCAUAUGAUGAGGAACCAGAUAGGGACAACAGAUAAUUAAAAUUAAUUGCUGAGAAAAGUCUUUUUUAAGUCCAGUUUUAGUAGAGCUUAGGACGCUUUCCCUGAUC